UCAAAUAGAAAUUGAGCAAUGGCAAUAGUGAAGAAAACAAAAUUAGCUUCCCUUCUUCCAAGUUUGCUUCUUAUAUUUCUAUCUCUAUCCUUUAAUGUGCCAGUCUCGGGGACUAGACUCCAUUACGUAGGUUAGUAUCUCACUAUUCCGAUAAAUUUUCCUCGCUACACAUUCUUGUUUUACCAUCCAGUAAAUAUUAUUAAAAGAAAAUCUUGAGUUUACAUGGUUUUAAUAGAGUUCAUAUCUUAAUACGGAAAAUAAGAUGAAUAAUCUAGAUAUAAUUUUCCACAGCUAUAAUUAAUUUAAACAAUUCACUUAAGAAAUCAAAACCAAUAGUACAACGGUAACUUUUAUUUUAUUUUUUACUUCAUAGCUUGAUUGUUGAUCGUGAAGAUAGUUUUCUAUCUAGAGAUAUUAAUUUUUGUUUGAUCUCAUCUUUUGAUAUUCGUUUUUACUUACCGAUUCUUAUGUAUCAAGUUCGCAUUCCCGUUCAUUCUUCGCGAUCCACUCCGCCGUCUUCAUCGUGUGGAAGUGGUAUUUAUCACGUUGCCGGGGCAACAGAGAGGUUGUGUAGACACCCUAAAAAACCGUCUGCUGCUUCAAAUCCUUGACUUCUCGUAAAAGUUAGUAAAUUUGAAGAAGACAUUCAGUAUCAAAUUUCCAAAUCAUCAAAUGUUUGUUAGUCAAUAAAAUUAAAGAAUAAUCUUCUUUCUCAUUUUCUGUUCUAGCAACUUUAUUUGCUUGUUGACUUGUUGUAUUUGUGUUUGAGAAUAAUUUCUCGGAUUUGAUUUGUGGGUUUUGUACCGUGAAAGUUGUUUAAUCCUUUAUUUAUGAUUAUUAACCAAACCGGAAAUUAAAAUCUUAACCGGGUAUCUCAGUAAACAUUUACAUUUGAUAUCUACACUUACUUACCACCUUCUUAUUGUUUGUUUCUUACCAUGUCUCCGGUCUGUUACCUUCCCUACAAAAGAUCAUCAGCUUCAAAUUCCGUUACUCCGAGCAUCGCAAGCGUAAGAUGACUCUUCAUCUCAGAUUUUGUCCGUUGCAACUGCGGAUAACAGUCCAUUAUACCCGGAAGAUUUGAUUUCUUCCGGCUUGAUAACGUCCUUAGUUCUAUCCCUUCACCGCCUUUUAGGAUUGAAAGUAUCUCCUUCAUCCCCGGUCUUCGUGAUUCCUCAUUGAUCACACACGCUGCCGCAGCUCGGAUCAUACGCUCCAUCGAAGCCGAGUUUUUUCUAGUACAUUUCAGCCUUGGAUCUAGCAACUCCUCUGUAGCUUCUAUCCCUCUAUGCAACAACGGUUUUGCCUGCACAAAAAUAUAUAAAACCAAGCCAUUGAUGCAAGCAGAAGUGUAGCCAAAAUGGUUAUUUUUUAUUAAAAAGGUCUUAAACUGCAUUUGACAAUGUUAUAAAUCGUUAACAGUUUAAAGAUCAUUAAAACUUAGUUGAACCGUAAUUUUUAGCUUGACCAAAACCCGAAUUUAGUAUGUCAAGUCACAAAUUCGAAUUGAUGUAUUGAGAAGCGUCCAUUUAUAGGAAAAGGGGCUUGUGGAGUAUAAG
rnacentral:lncRNA from 1 species